rnacentral:tRNA from 1 species
UGGUCUUUAGUUUAACGGUAAAACAAUAGUCUCCAAAACUAUAGAUAUUGGUUCAACUCCAAUAAGAUCAG